rnacentral:lncRNA from 1 species
UUGAAGACCAAGGGAGAGACAGUAGCAAGAGACUGUCAGAUCUCAGCUACUGAACAGUCUGUACGCUCACACUGCAGUGUGGAAGAAACAGAAGAUGCCUUUCUAAUACCAGUGAGAAUGUGUCAGCAGAGAAGGUUGGCUGAUAAAAGACAAGGACUAGGAGGAGACGUCUUCAGGAGCAGGACCUGGGCUGUGCUGUGGUGGUCUUUCAGCACGUCCGGGAGCCAAGACAAGUCAGCCCUCAGUGACCCCGCUACAUUCAGCACCACUGGACAAAGAUCCCCUGUUGAUUUGGUGGCUGCAGCCAUACAGUGGGAAGGUGUUGGGAAAACAGACUUCAGUGAGGCAGCAGGACUUAACAAGCAGGAUUAAUGAAAAAAAUGGCUGUCACAGGCUUAAAAAUAGCCUGCCAUAUGCCCGUGCGAAAGCUCGGAAAGCUCCACCAGGGAUGCGGGGUCGGCGCUCGCG